rnacentral:lncRNA from 1 species
UAGUAAAAUAAAUUAAAUUUUAAAAUUUUGAGAUAUUGUAUUCAUAAUAAGUGUUGUAUUGUUUGCUGCCUCCUCAUCCUCUCACGUGAAGGACUUACACAGGGGCCAGUUGGACUGAGAGUAUUGUGGCUGGCUAAGACUGGCUAAUGUCAAAGGGAUAUCGCCUGGAAAGUAGUCUCUGCUCUAAUAGUAUUGAACGUUUAUUAACAAAGUAGUUUUUUUUUUCCUGGUACUAGGGAUCAAACUGGACCUUGUGCUUGUGAGGCAGGCGUGGCGCCACUGAGCUAAAUCCCUGGCCUCAGAGCUAGAUGUUUGAUAGAAGAAGCUUCUGCAUAUAUUUUUGGUCUAAAAUUUUCAGUUUUCUUUGGAACAAUUUUAGAUCUACCAAAACUUUGUAGAAGAGAGUUCCUAUGCCCUCACCCGAAGUCAGCUUCCCCUCAUCUAGUCGUGUAUUGCUGUGGGAUGUUUGCCCAAACUGAGAAGCCAGCAUUGGUGUGUUUCCGUUACUCCAGUUUUUCUGUUCUGUCCUAUUCUGGGACUCAGUACAGGACACCACCUUGGUCUGUUGUUAUUGCUCCUUAGUCUCCUCUGGUUUGUGACAGUUUCUCAGUCUUACCCUUGGUUUUCAUCACCUUAACAGUUUUGAGGCAAAUGAGAUAGGCAGGGUUCAGAAUGUCCCUCAGUUGGGGUUUCCCUGGGGUGGCAGGUUUCUGGUAGGACCACAGAGGCGCCAUGGCUUUAUUGUGACAUCAUCUUGAGUGUACAGUGUUACCACAUGAUGUCACUUUGUUACCCUUCAUCACUUCGUUAAGGUGGAAGCUGACUAAUUUUUCCUUUACAUGGGAAAUCUCUGGGAAAAUGAGCCAUUUCUCCAAGGAGCCCUGAUGCCUCUCAGAACAGAGUGCUCCGCCGCCCGCCCCCCCCAGUACUGAGGAUCAAAUUCAAGACCUUGCACUUGCCAGAGGAACAGAGUUCUUAAACAGAAUAAAAGACUGGGCUACAUGGUGCAGGUGUGGACGCUGUAGGCAGGGACUGCCUCGUGUCCUCCAGGGUCAGAAGAGCUUGCUGCAGAGCAAACACCCGUUCCCUGGGUUCUGGGCACAAGCCGCCUGAUCGUAUCUGGGCAGCACAGUGUGCCUUUCCAGUAUUUGUGGGGAAGUCACCAGGAUAGAUCUGUGGUCCCUCUUCCCUUGGUGGCCGCUAACAUCAAGGGCCCCUGGUGCUGAGCCCCAGUCAGGAGUGUCCAGCUUUCCCCUCCUUCUAAAGUUGUAAUGAAAAUAUUUUUAAAUAAAGUUGUUUUUAUAUACAUGAGCUGUAUUGUAUGUUUGAUGUGUGCCCCAAGACAAUUGUCCUUUACUCAAAAGAGGGUGGAAAAAAGGGUGGACCACAGGUUGGACACAUCUGCAGG